GGGGUCAGGGCCGGGGUCGCUGUGCUUCGUGGCGGCGCGGGUCCUCCGUUUCCCAGGAGGAAAAAAAAAAAGAAAAAUGGAGUCGCAGCCGGCUUCGGCAGGUGUUGGGGCCAGGCGUGCGAGACGCCGAGGCCGCGGGGACUUCCCCACCUGCUUCCAACCGACGAAAGCGUGAAGUGAGGCGCGCCCAGUCCCACCCUGCCCAGGUGUGAAGCGCCUCCCGGACUGAGAGGGCCUUGACUGAGGGGCAGGGAGAGAGGUCCUGGCCCCCGAGUGACCGAGGACUUUCUUGCAAAAAUGCCUGUUCGGGAUUCCUCAGAGUACAGACAAAAAGGAAGGCUUGAUCAGCAUGUGGUGGAUCUGAAGAUUCAAAGAAUUGCCGCGGCUCAAAAGUAGACAUUUUGGUAAAUGUGAAGAGUGAGAUUCAAUGAAGAUGAUAAGAAAUGAAAGGUGUUACCAAAAUUGUUGUGUCUUUUGGGGACCUUGUCAGUUGCCUUCCAAGUGCUAAUUCUCAUGACGAGAUAAGAAUGGCUAUGACUGGGUGUUGAUUGAUGAGUCGAACACAUUGAAUCCUGGAGUUUGAGGUUAUCAGAACUCCCCACUUAGAAAAUCAUCCUUUAUAUUUUAGAAAAUCAUCAUUGUAUGUUGAACAUACAAUGCUUCUUUUUUCUUCAUCUCCAGUGCACUGGUCUAGAGAGCGGCAGUUGGACCCCAGAGUGUGGCACGUGUUCCUGUGUUCAUUUGAACAUUCUCUGAUGACCUGUCGCUGAGGUCCUGUGAUGAUGCGUAUCCUGUCUUCCACCCCAACUGCCACUGUGUUUCAACUGUCGCUGGCUGUGUUUCAACUGCCGCUGUGUUGGAACUGCCAGCUAGACUGCUCACCAAAAUGGGAGGCAGCCUCUGCUGCUGUGGUGAAGGUGAAGACACACUCAGCGAUUCAGCUCUACAGUAUGCACUCUGGGAUCUCCCAUUUGCUAAGGAAGGAUCUUAGCUUUGAGAAAGUGGCAAGAGAUCCCCUCUUGAGGAGACUCCGCAGGAACACCAGAGAUGAUAGUGACACACAACAACUGAAGGCAGAGGUACAGGCUGAGGAGAAAGGUGUCAAGCCUGUGGCAGCAGAGCUUCCUGGGGAGUCCUCAGAGCAAGUCAUUGCCAUUGUCGAAGUGUCUUCUAGGCUUUAUUUUGGGGCCAUUACCUCGAGCACUGUUUCUUGUCUGGUUUCCUAAUGUCAGCAACUGAAGAAAAGACCUGUAUACACAGGACACAGCAUGGUCUGACGCUCACAGUGUUUUCCUUUCUCUCUGCAGAGGGAUUCAGCACUUUGGGCAAGUGGUUGCACAGAGGAUCCCGUGGAAGAAUUCAUAUAUGAAUCAGAUGAGAAUGCCCCAGGACCAUCGUAGAUACCAACAAGCCCUCUCCCGGCACCUGCAGAAAAAGUGGGGAAAAUCCCCGAAGAGGCAGAAACAAAACCUAGUGAGCUGAAGGAUGAGGCUGCUGAAGAGCCUGAGCUCACUUGUUGUGGCCUUUGUACUUAUGCUGGAAAUCCCUAAAGAUUCAUCCGGAAGGGCCGCCAGCCAGUGGAUUUCCCGGGCCCCUCAGCCCUCUGGAGUGUACGAGUUUUGGAGAAACCUCUUCCUCUGUAUAUGCUUUUGACUUUCCUGGACUGAUGUAAAAAUACUCUUUUCUUUGACCUGUUUAUUUUUAAGACACGAUGUGAUUGUGUCAGCUUAUAUUUUAUUGCUGAAGUAAAUUUUCAAAUGUUUUAUUAGUUUUUUUUGGAUCUUUGUCCGCUCAUUUUGGAGUUUUUGUAAUUUUGAUAGGUGUUCUUUUAUGCUUUGUAUUGUUUUCUUAAUGACUUUUACCUUAGUUUUUAACAAACCCAUAGUACAGUGUUAUACCCAAGCGAGUCAGAGAAAACGCCACACUUUGAGACGAAUUAAGAGUCCAUUAUUGGCCGGGCGCGUGGCUCAAGCCUGUAAUCCCAGCACUUUGGGAGGCCGAGGCGGGCGGAUCACAAGGUCAGGAGAUCGAGACCAUCCUGGCUAACACGGUGAAACCCCGUCUCUACUAAAAAUAUAAAAAAUUAGCUGGGCGUGGUGGCGGGCGCCUGUAGUCCCAGCUGCUCAGGAGGCUGAGGCAGGAGAAUGGCAUGAACCUGGGAGGCGGAGCUUACAGUGAGCUGAGAUCGUGCCACUGCACUCCAGCCUGGGCGACAGAGCAAGACUCUGUCUCAAAAAAAAAAAAAAAAAAAAAAAAAAGAGUCGUUUAUUUAAGCCAGCGGCCAAAGAGAUGGCUAACGCUCAAAAUUCUCUCGGCCCUGAGGAUGGGGCUUCAUUAACUUUUAUACCUUGGUUUAGGAAGGGGAGGGGAACUCAAAUGCAAUAAUUCUACAGAAGUAAAAACAUGCAAGAAUCAAAAAAACAAAUGGUUAUAGAGGGAGAAACAAUUUAAAAGACAAAUGGUUACAAAAAAAGCAACGGAACCAGGUGCGGGGCUCUAAAUCCUUCAUUAGAGUUCGAUAUGGAUGCUCUGCCAGACACGGACUCAAGGCUUUAUGCUGUUAUCUCUUUGAGCAAAACCCUGGGAACUUCAUACAUUGUUUGUUCCAGUACCUUAUCAGUUAAUUGGGCUCCUUUGAAAUGCUGAGGAUCUGCUUACACAGGUUAACGCCUUGAGGAAGGGGUUUGGGUAAGGAGCCCUUGAUGUCUUGUUAAUCAAGAGGCCAAAUGGAGUUUGUCCGGCUUUCCCAGCUAAGGGAGAGUCUUAUUCAUAUGGGAAACAAGGCUGGGUAAUUAAGGAGACAAAAGGGAAAAUUUAAAAAUAGCGAGUUACAGUAAAAACAAGGUUAGGCAUUACAACAGUAAGUUAUAUUAAGACAAUAUUUUGGCCGGGCGUGGUGGCUCACGCCUGUAAUACUUAGCACUUUGGGAGGCCCGAGGCGGGCAGAUCAUGAGGUCAGGAGAUCAAGACCGUCCUGGCUAACACUGUGAAACACCAUCUCUGCUAAAAAUACAAAAAAUUAGCUGGGCGUGGUGGGGGGGCGCCUGUAGUCCCAGCUGCUCGGGAGGCUGAGGCAGGAGAAUGGCGUGAACCUGGGAGGCGGAGCUUGCAGUGAGCUGAGAUAGUGCCACUGCACUCCAGCCUGGGCAACAGAGCGAGACUCCACCUCAAAAAAAGAAAAAAAAAAAAGAGAGACAUAGUAUUUUUAAUGUUUUUUAAUAGCUUAUAUUCUGUACAUCUUUUCACAUGUAGAAAUGUUAAUGGCUGGGCGCAGUGGCUCACGCUUGUAAUCCCAGCACUUUGGGAGGCUGAGGCGGGAGAAUCACUUGAGCCCAGGAGUUGGAGACCAGCCUGGGAAACAUGGUAAGACCACAUCCCUACUAAAAAAAAAAAAAAGUUUAUGUAUAUAUAUAAAAUUAUCUGGGCACACUGGCACAUGCCUAUAGUCCCAGUUGCCUGGGAGGCUGAGGCAGGAGGAUUGCUUGAGCUCAGGUGGUCGAGGCUGCAGUGAGCCAUGAUCGCACCACCGCACUCCAGCCUGGGUGACAGAGUGAGACCCUGUCUCUGAAAAAAAAGUGCUUGUUUAUAUUAAUAUUAGUUAGAAGUCUACUUGUUUAUAGCAGAAUUAAACUGGUUUAUAGCAGAUACAAGCUCUUGGAGGAAAAUACUACACUUCAUUCCAGGCCCUGAGUCCUUAGUAACUGGCUGUGUGCCCUGUAGGGCUCUACGGUUCCUGGUUGAGGAGCAGAGAGAUCAAUUGCUCCAGUGUAAGGGGCGAAGAGUUCCUUAGGGAACGGCUGCUGGGCCCAGCUUUGCUAUUGUCUUCGCUUUCUAGUAAGCCUUGUGUUGCUGAGGUCCAGCUGUGUGAGUAUUAACACACUAACGGUAUUGCAAGCUUCUCCGAGCACGUGCAGGCAAUUGGCGAGAAGCUUAAUAUGUGUAAGCAGUGUGAGAGAAGCCUUUUAAGGGUGUUUUCUUGGGUGGGUCAGGUGAGGGAAAUGGCAUGGGGUUAAGAAGGAAACUGAUUAAUUCAUGUAAAACUGCCAUCCCUUCAUCACCUGAGUUGUGAUGUGCAGGCACUGAGCACACUGCAGGUUGAGAACAUACGUGGGUCUUUAUUGCAGCCUUGUGCUGUGCUCUUCAGAGCCGUGAGUGUGCUGCUCUUACUCACCAUGUGGUUUCUCAUAGAUUGUUGUGUUUGAUGCUGGAAAACAUUUUGAAGACAAGACUCCAAACAGCGACGUAUGCCACACUAGCUGAUUAGAAAAUGAGAAACUUAUGUUAUCAACAGGCUUGGAAGAUUCUUGUGGUCCUGCAGUCACCCACAUUUCCCUGGUCUUCAUCUUGCCACUCCGCUUUAUUCUCCUUUUCUGUUGCAGUAGCUAUAAUGCCACAACUUUUUGUUUUUUUCUCCCCUUUUCUUCCUUCCUGCCAGCACUCAAAUGGCCACUCGUAUUAAGUGAUGGAAUUCCACAAUUUUUUUCUGUAUAUUAAACCUGAUACUAUUUCACUCAGUUUAUCAUCGUUAGGGUGCAAAGUAGUCACCUAGAGGUGCCACUCAGUAUAUAGCACUGUGUUUAGAAAUUUAGGGAGCCGUGAAGUAUUUAGCCUCUGCUCUCUGAGACUUCAGCCAGGUGCAAAGAGCAGAUACAGAGCUGAAUGUGAGGUUGAGUUACUUACAUCCAGCAGUACCAGAAUGUGCCUGGGAAUCAUGGGGGUGAAAAAUUAACUCUGACUGAGGCAGGUAUCUCUGAUGCUUUUUGGAAGGAGGAUGGGGUCUGUGCCAGGCCUUGGAUGUGGGAGAAGGAGGAGCUGUCAGGAAGCAGCAGUGGCCUCAGCAACGGCACUGUUGUGAGGAACGUGGGCUGUGUUUGGGGAACAGCCAGGGGUUUUGUGUGGCAGGUUUACAGCACCUGUAGGAGACUGCAUUGGUAAGUAAGCCCAGAAAAGUAGGCUGGGGCCAAAUUAUGCAUGACUUUGAAGGUCAAUCUGAUGAGUUGAGUGGGAUAAAUAGAAACUAUAAGUAGCAUCACCUCCAUUGAGGACAGGUUUUGCUGCCAAGAGAUUUUUUAGACUUUGUUGGAUUGUGUAAUUGUGGAUGAAGAAUUAUUGACCUGAAUGUAUUUGAUCUUUGAUUGUUUUAGUAUGCCAGAUUCUUGGAGGUGAAAUUGCUAAGUCAAGGUGAUGAGUGUUGUUGAGACUUAAUGUUGACUGCAAAAUUAACCUCUAAAAAGGCAGUGCCAGCUUAGAAGACCAUGACUGACUGAGAGUUCUUGUUUUAUCUCGACCUUGCAGAGCUGGGUGUUACAACAUCGAGAACCCCUGCAGGUCCUCUUUCUCUCCCUCCCUCCCCCCUGCUCUCCCUCCCUUCCCCUCCCUCCCUCCCCCUCUCUCUUCCUUGGUUCUUCCCUUUCUUCCUUUUACUUCUCCUAUGAUAGGCUCUCAUUUUCUGAAGAGCCUGCUGCUCUCUUCCCAUUUAUUUAUGAUGCCACAUUUAUCACAUUCUUUUUUUUUUUUUGAGACAGAAUCUCACUUUGUCAUUGAGGCUGGAGUGCAAUGGUACGAUCUUGGCUCACUGCCACCUCUGCCUCCUGGGUUCAAGGGAUUCUCCUGCUUCAGCCUCCUGAGUAGCUGGGAUUACAGGCAUAUGCCACCACACCCAGCUAGUUUUUAUAUUUUUAGUAGAGACAGGGUUUCACCAUGUUGGCCAGGCUGGUCUUGAACUCCUGACCUCAGGUGAUGCAUCCACCUCGGCUUCCCAAAGUGUUGGGAUUACAGGCGUGAGCCACUGUGCCCAGCCACAUCCUAACUUUUGAUAACAUGCCAGGAUCUUUCUUUCAUGUCCUCUCAAAGAGGUUAAAUAUUAUUUUCAUAAUGAGUUAUAAUUGAGUUUUCUCAUGUCAAAUGUAAAAACAAAAUCAUAUAGUUCAUUGACUCACUUAUGUCUUACCAGCCUUUUUAUUACAAAUUAUUGUAUAGUCAACGCUUUAAAGUGUGUCCUAUUUUUUCCUAAGUUUUAUCAAUAGAUGAUGAUAUUGAUGAUGAAAUGUUUGAUGAUGAUCAUUUAAAGGCUUAUUUUGAAUAACUGGCAAUUCCAUGAGUGAUGGUAUUAAACAUAUGAAGAUCUAGAAGGACUGGAGCCUCCGGAAAAAGACUGGACAUUACCUGCAAGUGCUCCUAGUCAGGAAUGUUCCAGUCUUUAUGGCUUUUCCGAAAUUUGGCAUUAGAAAAUCACUAUCGUCCUCAUUGGAUGUUCACAUGAAAUUUAAGCCUCUGGUUGUCUUUGGACUCCAUUUUUUCCAGGCAAAUAAAAACCGCAGUUUAAACUCUAAGUUUCAAUCAGAAACUAACAGCUCUUGGAUUUCCCAGGGCUCACACUCCUCUGAAACAACUCACGAAGAGCCUGAGGAAGCAGUUCUCACUGGAAAAUGCAAGAAAGUAUGUUCCGGUGAAGACCCUCAGCUCUGUUCAUUUUCAUGAUGCAAAUGCCCACAAAGGUGGUUUUGACCUGACUGACCCUGUGCAAGGAGGCACAGUCUCCUCACCAGCAUAAGCACGUGGCAUCAGAUGCGGAGACAGUUUUGGACGUGGAUGGAUGUUUACACACUGAGACUCCUUCAGUGUCCCUUCAAGAAAAUGUGGACACAAUGUCUCUGAAGCCUGUUAGUGACCAUAGAAUUAAUUUCACUAAUACCUUUCGGUCACCGACUCCUGAAAAGAGAACACGUGAAUAUCAUGAGUCCGUUGAAAAAAGACAAAAUGAAUCUCACACAGAAUGUGGUCUAUGGAAAUGAAGAGGGCAGAGGGGUCAUGGACCUUGCCUGUCACACAUCUUUUACGAGCAAACAAAAUGUGAUGAGAUGACUGAAGACUUGAGAUCUGGUUAGUGAUACCACCAAUGAGAUGAGCACCACAGUUAUUCAAGCCAGCCCAGCCCUGUCCGAGGAAUAGGCUGUGGAAAAAUUGAGAGAAUUUCCAUUUCAGAAUAUAGGAAAAGGAACAUAAAGGAACAUUACCAUCUAUGAUCCCAAACGACUGAUAUGAAAAAAUGACUGCAACUACUUCUCUGAGUAGCAAGCCUAAAGAUGUAAAACCUAACCUUAGAUCAAGUGAAGAUCCUUCCUCCAAAAGUGGAGAUCUGUUGGAACCCAGUGAGGUGGAUUGGACGUCAGACCUCAAGAAAGUGGACCGGAUCGGGCUGGCUCUCCUGAGCAAGUCAGGUCUGAGUCGUCAGACGGGGUCAGCUGCUCACACCUCCCUGUGUCCUGCCAGGAGACUGUAGAUGAUGAUCAAAGAAUCAUCACUAAAGCUACGUCAACUGCAAGUUGUGAGCUCAGAGGCCGGGACCUGUUCCCAGCGGAACCAUUCAUGGCUCUGCAGCUGAGACGCAGAACAUGGGGCUGCGGUGCCUGCACUCUUGAUGUCACCCCUCCCAGCACAGCUUCCUUCAGCCAGAGGUAUUGAAGAACACUCCCUUCAGCUGGAAGUGUCGCCCUGCCUCAGUGCCAGGCUGGCAGGGCCAUAGCCUGUGGCUUCUCAGGAGGCCAUCCCUAUCCAGCUGUCACGGGAGAGCAUGUGCAGAACUCUGUGGCUGUGGAAUUUGGGACCAAAUACCGGCUCUGGAUGGAUGGGCACCUCUUCCAUCUGCGACCCAUAUUCUGAUGCCUCACAUCGGAACCUGCUAAGCACAGCGAAGCCUUUUCCUGUGCAUUCUAUUGGUACAAACUGGAAAGAAACCACGAGAUUCAGGAAUGACAUCAGUACUGGGUAGAAACAGAACAGAAAGCCAUUCUUGAUUUUGGUGACUGGAGUUGUGGAGGCUGGAAGUCUCUGCCAAUAAAAGCACUGAACUGGACACACACCACUUACCAAUCAAGUUGAUUCUCAAUGUUAGCACCGUGGCCUGGCAAGAUCGGACGUUUUCCGAGGAACCCGGCUGAGCUCCUGUGAGAGCUGCUCCCUGCACUGAUGUGGUCCCUUGGCUGGCAGGCUGCUCUGUGAUCAACCAGGUGACACCUGCCUGUUAUGAGGGACAGGUAGGAGAGGAUGGGCUUUCCAUCAAAACAAACAAAAAAAAAGUCCCAAGAAGGAACUCGGCUCUUCAGAGAUUCAGGACUCAGGAGAAGACUUCGUAGUGAGAGUUGACGUAGAAGUUGACAGCCCAAACCCCACACCAGUUCUUAGAAGUAUUGAUCUCCAAGAAAGAGCAGAAAGAGCUACAACUCCUGCUCCCAGGGACUUACAGGUCCCAGAAUGAGAAAGUCCCUCUUUAGUGGAUCUAGAGAAUCUAUUCGUUAAACCUGGAGAAGAACAUGAGGUUAUAGUUUCUUUUUCUCCAAGGGAUCCCAAAGUUUGGGAGGAAAGGAUCUAAAAAAUGUUUGUGCAGCCAUUUGGACCUCAGUAUGAAGUGGUGUUAAAAGGUGAAGUCCAUUCUUCAGGAAGUAAACCUCUGCCACGUGGAUCAUGCUCAGACAUCCUAUUGAAGUUUGUCCAACAAUUUCUUGCUUUGGAAGGUGUCUCUCUUGGUGGAACACAGUUUCACCUUUUGCUGGAACUCAGAGCUACAAAUGAUGCUUAAUGUACCAAUGCCUUCUGACUGAACUCCUCUCUGCCCUGAAUACAAGAGACCCUAAUAGUUAUGUGGAAAUAUCAUCGCCCCGUUCAGCAUGAAGAAGUUACAAAAGAUGGACCUUCAUCCUUCUGCAACCCUUAGGAUUAAGGGUCCUCUUGUAAAAGGGAGGGGAAAUAUGUAAGAAGCAUUCAAACCAGAGCGACUCCAUUUUGAACAAGGGCUAAGAAAAAUGAAGCUGGGUCCUGUUGGGCUGCAUGCCCAGGAGGUUAAGCAUUCUUAGCCUCAAGAUGUUUACAAUUGAGGGAACAGAUUAAUAAUGUUUCCUAAACAGACUCAGGACUUAACAGACUCAGGAACGUCUUGAUACUUUGAGAACAAAAGCACUUCUAGUUUUAAAUACGCAUUGUACCUAGGCUGGAUGCUUUUCUUACUUUUGGAAAUGCCCUACCCUGUCUAUGGAGUCACUAUUCAUUCCCUCCUUUAUUAAAGUUGCUUCUAUUUUGCACUGUGGACUUGCUCCAAAUUCUUC
rnacentral:lncRNA from 1 species